GGAUCUGAGCCUCAUUUCACACUUCAAUUGAUUAUUUCGAGUUAUGUUUAAUGAGUAGUCUAGUGGGCUAUAAUUGUCCAUCUUGGUGUUUGAACCCUCGCCCUCUAAUACCUCUAUAGACCAAAUGCCCAUUGCCGGUUUGUGCACCUCUAUUGCCGAUAUAAAUUCUGGGCGAUGAAGAUAAUUUUCUGCGUUAAAUUUUUCUGAGCUUUGGUUAUUGGAUGCUGGGUGAAACUCGGCUCGUAACUUGGCUUGGCAACACGAUUUUUGUUGCAGCCAUGGCGGUGGCCUCUCACCAGAAAUCAUGUUGAGGUUUUGAGAUUAAGGUGCUGUUUGUUUUUUUCAGAGGUAAAAUGUUUGUAGUCUGCGGACCACGGACCACAUCUGUAGCAGACCGAGGUUGGUAAAAACAUCACUAAAAUGUCACGAAAUGAUGCAAUAUUUGCGACUUGAAGUCCGAUUGUGACUUUAUUAAAUUUGUUACUAAACUGAUAAGAAUAGACACUACACUUGAUCUUUAGCCAUAAAGCCGAGAAAGUUAUGCAUUAUUAGUGUAUCUAAACAUGAUGCUUCUUGGCAUAGUAAACUGCAUGGCUAUGUGAAUGAUUUUUGAUCUGUCACAUUGAAUGCGGUAAGCUUGCAACCGUAGCUGAUUUUAUUCUGAGCAUAUAAUAUAUUAUAAUUCUGAGCAUAAAUAAUGAUAAAAGUUAGCGGACAUUGUGUGGAACAGUGGGCCCGUAUCUUGGCGGGGCAACACGGGUUGUGGUGCAGCCAUGGCGGUGUCUGACCCACUUUGUCCGCUUUCAUAUUUGCAGAUCUGAGCCUAAAAACGCACUCUUUGUUCUCGAAUAUUAUUUUGACUCAGACGAAAUGAGGCGACUUCAGAGAAGAAGGUUUUUAAGGGUGGUGCCCUUCUCUUUCAAACUCCGAUUUUGACUUUUUUUUAAGUCAAAUAUCCGUUUUUUGAAGCCCAUGAUUUUCUUCAUAAAUCAACAACCCUUCAUCUUUCAAAGAUGACAGUUCUUAUCUAUACUAUCUAUACUAUAUAUAUAAUGCAUAUUCGAAGGGCAGAUUUGGUCAUUUGCCACUUUUUCGACAUGUACAAGUCCUGAAAGCAUGUUGUGCAAUGCUCUAAAGCACAGAUGGAUUUCAAAGCUUUCAUACACCCUGAAAUCUCAUGGGCGGGAUUUUUGAAGCAGCGGCUAUGGUAGAUGUGGUAUGAUGGUGGAGCUAUUAAAUUGAUGAGGUUUUGGUUCGGAUUCAUGACUUCAUUCAGUUUUGAUGCUAGGGUCAAAUACCAGAUGUGAGCAGUUUUGAGUUGCUUGGGUUCUGUCACAAACCCAGGCGGCACCGAUGCCAGAGAGUAGUCCGUUGAUGAUGAUGAGUUCUUCGGUAUUUGUUACUGCUGACCGCACCUUUUUGCCCUUCAAGAACUGUUUUCUUAUUAUCCCUUUCUAAUAACAUCCCCGUUAGCACUACCGGCCGACGUUUAUUCAUCUGUGUUGAUUUAUUUGACAAUCGUUAGCCAUGGCGGAUUUAUCCACUCUGUUCGAUUGUUUACAGAUCUGUGCCUCAUAAUCGUUUUAUAACAU
rnacentral:lncRNA from 1 species